AUCUGCUACCAUACCACCUUGAUGAGCAACAACCUUGUCUGAUCUUUGAAGCUAAGUAGGGUUGGCGUGGUUACCGUUUGGAUGCGAGACCACCUAGGAAUAUGGGUACUGUAGGCU
rnacentral:rRNA from 1 species